rnacentral:tRNA from 1 species
AAGAUCAAAGCUUUACAUAGCAAUUUACUUACACUAAAUAGAUUCUACAUAGAUGUUCUUA